rnacentral:rRNA from 1 species
CUUACAAAAAUAGGUCUCAGUUCGGACUGUAGGCUGCAACUCGCCUACACGAAGUUGGAAUCGCUAGUAAUCGCGGAUCAGAAUGCCGCGGUGAAUACGUUCCCGGGUCUUGUACACACCGCCCGUCACACCAUGGGAGUCAGUAACGCCCGAAGUCAGUGACCUAAACCGAAAGGGAGGAGCUGCCGAAGGCGGGACGGAUGACUGGGGUGAAGUCGUAACAAGGUAUC